rnacentral:rRNA from 1 species
GACGGAAGGUGCAAGCGUUGCUCGGAAUCACUGGGCGUAAAGGGUGCGUAGGCGGCUUGGUAAGUUGGGUGUGAAAGCCCCGGGCUCAGCCCGGGAAGGGCACUCGAAACUGCCGAGCUGGAGUGCCGGAGGGGAGAGUGGAAUUCCUGGUGUAGCGGUGAAAUGCGUAGAUAUUAGGAGGAACACCUAUGGCGAAGGCAGGUCUCUGGGCUGACACUGACGCUCAUGCACGAAAGCGUGGGGAGCAAACAGG